GGGUGAGGAAACCGGCGCACGGGUGAGUAACACGCAGCUGAUCUGCCCCUUAGAGGUGGAUAACCUUUGGAAACAGAGGCUAAUACACCAUAAGCUCACGACUUGUAGAGAGUUGUGAGAAAAGUUCAGGCGCUAAGGGAUGAGGCUGCGAGCCAUCAGCUAGUUGGUGAGGUAAAGGCUUACCAAGGCGACGACGGCUAGGGGACCUGAGAGGGUGACCCCCCACACUGGAACUGAGAAACGGUCCAGACUUCUACGGAAGGCAGCAGUGAGGAAUAUUGCACAAUGGGCGCAAGCCUGAUGCAGCGACGCCGCGUGGGUGAAGAAGGAUUUCGGUCUGUAAAGCCCUUUUCUGUGUGACGAGAAUGGACGGUAGCACAGGAAUAAGUCUCGGCUAACUACGUGCCAGCAGCCGCGGUAAAAUGUAGGAGGCAAGCGUUA
rnacentral:rRNA from 1 species